rnacentral:rRNA from 1 species
AACGAACGCUGGCGGCAUGCCUAACACAUGCAAGUCGAACGAAGCCUUCGGGCUUAGUGGCGCACGGGUGCGUAACGCGUGGGAAUCUGCCCUUUGGUUCGGAAUAACAGUUGGAAACGACUGCUAAUACCGGAUGAUGACGAAAGUCCAAAGAUUUAUCGCCCGAGGAUGAGCCCGCGUAGGAUUAGCUAGUUGGUGUGGGAAAGGCGCACCAAGGCGACGGUCCUGAGCUGGUCUGAGAGGAUGAUCAGCCACACUGGGACUGAGAAAUGGCCCAGACUCCUACGGGAGGCAGCAGUGGGGAAUAUUGGACAAGGGGCGAAAGCCUGAUCCAGCGAUGCCGCGUGAGUGAUGAAGGCCCUAGGGUUGUAAAGCUCUUUUACCCGGGAUGAUAAUGACAGGACCGGGAGAAUAAGCCCCGGCUAACUCCGUGCCAGCCGCCGCCGUAA